CUCAACAACAAAAUUUAAAAUUCGGCUUUGUAAUUCGGAAUUUAUGUAAUUUAAUUUAAUUUGAUUUGAUUGGCCGGUUAAUAAAAAUUAUUUUUUUAAAAAAAAAGUUCCCCGCACCUAGGUUAUAGGUGCAGUCAUGAUGAGCUCUUGCACUUCAAAAUUUACUUCUAACAUUUUAAGAAAGCCUGACCUGAGCUGCAAAAUUGCUAGGGGUGCAAAAUUUUGGCACCCGGUGCCUCCCCAACACAGCUCUGUGCUUCCAUCUCUGGGCUCUGUUGAAAACGGCUUCUCUGUGCGAACCAGGAAGUGACCUCUGCAGACAAUGGAAUGCCUCUUCUUUUCUUAUCUCUGUGGCUGUGAUCUCCUGGGUGAUGCAGAAGCUGUUAGGCAAUUGAAUGUGCAUGCAUUUUCUGUUUGUUUCCUUCCACCCCUCUGCGUGGCCCAGGGCACUGGCAACCCAUGCUAUGCCACUAGGAUCAGGUAUUCCAUAGAAUAGUGGUUCCUAAACUGUUGUCUGCCUACUGUUGGGGCUCCCUUCCUUCUGUCCUAUGUCAAAGUGGGCAACAUCUGCUACUGGGAAAGAGUUGCCCUGCCUCUGGCUCCACCCAUCACUAAUGUGCAGCUCAUGGAAGAUUUCCUAUGAGGGGGUGCAGCCCUUCACUUAAAAAAAUAAUGUUUCCCACCCCUUCCUUAGCGGGUAUUCCAAAUCAUGACAGGACAUAGAGAAAGCAGCAUACAAAUAUCACUGAGGUGCUCUGAGGCAACGGUUGCCAUGGUGGGAGUUAAGAACCUAAGAAGAUCCUUGCUGGUUCAGACCAGCAGAUCAGGUGGGACAUUUUAAGGGCAUCCAGUUUAUAUGCAAUUAGCUUGUCUCUCUCUAGUCAGCAAAUCCAAAUCAAGAAAGACUUGUGGUUCUCUGGCAAGGAAAGAAAGCUGGAUUCAAGUUAAUAGCAGAUUUGAAAUGGUUUGGAUUAGGGGAACAAAAAGGUACCGGUAGGAUUUUUCUUUCUCCCUCAGCUCAGUGGGAAGCCAUCAAAUCAUGUAAUCGCAAUGAGUAAUAAGGAAAUGCAAAAGCUCAACGUUUGUGUGGUAAGAAAGCCUUAACAUUCAACUGUCCUUCGCUUCUGACAAAAGUGGCUCCAGUAUUUGGAGGGUGGGGCAAUAUGUCCUGGAAAUUUAACGAAGGGUGCCUCCAGACUGUCACUGCUUUGUGGGACGGAUUCAAGCACAUACCAGGGAUUUUUAGGGUUGUGCAGUGAAAGUGGGUCAAAGAAAAGUGACCGUGAAAUGCAUUUAAAUGUGUGGAAUGAAAAAUGGUUAACAGGAAGACAUAGAAACACCCCCAAUCAGAAUGAAUGCUCAUUGUCAUAUAACCUCUCCGCAAACAAAUCAGAAUGAAUGCUCAAUAAAGACUAGAUAUAAUCGAACCUCUGCACAGGUUUUGUGCAAGCGAAUUACAAUAAAUGCUCAGUAAGUAGAUUGUCAAGAGCAGGGGUAGUCAACCUUUUUAUACCUACCGCCCACUGAUGCAUCUUUCUUGAUGGUAAAAUUUCCUUACCGCCCACCAGUGCUCAAUGGAAGGAGGAUUCAGCUUGUGCCAUAGAACCCCCUACCGCCCACCUAGAAUCCUGAAACGCCCACUAGUGGGCUGGAGGGACCAGGUUGACAACCUCUGGUCUAGAGGAACCCUAAGGCUGCAAUGCUAUAUGCACCCUACCUUUGAAGUAAGGGCGUUGGAGAAUUCUGACAAAAACUGCAAACAGGAGUAGGAAUUGCUGACGUUUGGUUAUUUAUCCUAUGUCCAGAAUGGAAAUCAAUCCAGUGAAUGCAAUCAGUAUUCCCUGCUGUGGUUGCUUUCAGUCUGCAAACAAUAUGGGAUGAUUACGUUUCCUCCCUGCAUCCCAAUGUGCACAGUUUCCUUUGCAUUGAAAUGAAUGGGGUAGAAUACUGUAAUGACAACCACACAGGUGGAGUAGUGGGGGUCCAGGGGUCCAGCCCCCCCCAAAAAGUUCAGUGGCAGCCAUGCAUGCUUAUACACCCCACGGCAUGCUGACAUCAUGCGAACACACUGGGGUGUGUGUGCAUGCAUGGCAUGGUGACGUUGCACAGCCCCGGGGCCCCCUCAAUCACGAGGGCAAGGUGGCACACGGGGUGACAAUUUGCAUUUGUAAUUUUGUGACAACAGACAGCGAGACGAAUAUCACAGCUGUUGGUCAAAGAAGGACUGCAGUGGAAAAGAAACAGUGCUGCGUGUGAUGAAUACAGGGCAGAAUGUGUUUUGGGCUCCCAGUUGGGCUCCCUGCUUUCAACCCUGCAAUGGGCAUCAGCUACAAUGGCUGGCUGUUGAAUCUUAUUUCAGUAUUGACCAUUGAAUCUUGUUGUUGUUUAGUCAUUUAGUCGUGUCCGACUCUUUGUGACCCCAUGGAUCAGAGCACAUCAGGCACUCCUGUCCUCCACUGCCUCCCGCAGUUUGGUCAAACUCAUGCUGGUAGCUUUGAGAACACUGUCCUACCAUCUCGUCCUCUGUCAUCCCCUUCUCCUUGUACCCUCCAUCUUUCACAACAUCAGGGUCUUUUCCAGGGAGUCUUCUCUUCUCAUGAGGUGGCCAAAGUAUUGGAGCCUCAGCUUCACAAUCUGUCCUUCCAGUGAGCACUCAUGGCUGAUUUCCUUCAGAAUGGAUAGGUUUUAUCUUCUUGCAGUCCAUGGGACUCUCAAAAGUCUCCUCCAGCACCAUAAUUCAAAAGCAUCAAUUCUUUGGCGAUCAGCCUUCUUUAUGGUCCAGCUCUCACUUCCAUACAUAAAUCUUACUCCUCCACUGACCCUGAGGACAGUAGGCUGGUUUAACAGAGUCUGAGUGGCACACAUUGGAGGUCCUCCAAUACCUCACUGCCACUCCCUGACCUCAGCAUCUUCAAACUGAAGCAGCCACCCCACUGAUCCACACUGCCUCUCCCCAUCUAUGACCAAGCUCAUGUUUGCGGCACAACCUCCUCCUUCCAGAAGAUUACCUAGUAAUGCCAGCAGUUCUGUUUUCUCUGUGGUGGUUUUCUGAGUGGAACGAACAACACGUUAAGUUAUCCUUACUUCAAAGCUGUAAUUGGUACUAAGGGGGAUUAAAAAACCUUGGAUCGUUUCGAAACUUGGAAGAUCAAACAAGAAUACUGCUAAGGGGUUUGAAAACCACCACUGCCUUGAAGAUUAGCUUUGGGUGAGUCAGCCUGUGUGGAUCAAGAAACAAACAUAUCUUCCAUCACUAGACUUGUGACUCCUUCUGCAUUGCCAAUCCACACAAGGUGCUUACAUCAAAUGGGUGCAUAUUGUGGGUUUUCCAGAUACAUCCCAGGGUUGCUGGGUGUUUUUUCUUUCUUUGCAACAUCCACAUGAUAUUGUUGGCAUCAAAAUGCCUGUCAGUAUUUCCACCCUCCAUAUUAAUAAGUUAAAAAACAACAACUUGUUGCCAACAACCCAUAGGUGAUAUUUCAAUAACCCAUGUUAUCUGUUCGCUGAAGUAUGUUGUUGUUUAGUCAUUUAGUCGUGUCCGACUCUUCGUGAUCCCAUGGACCAGAGCACGCCAGGCACUCCUGUCUUCCACUGCCUCCUGCAGUUUAGUCAAACUCAUGCUGGUAGCUUCGAGAACACUGUCCAACCAUCUCGUCCUCUGUCGUCUCCUUCUCCUUGUGCCCUCCAUCUUUCGCAACAUCAGGUUCUUUUCCAGGGAGUCUUCUCUUCUCAUGAGGUGGCCAAAGUAUUGGAGCCUCAGCUUCACAAUCUGUCCUUCCAGUGAGCACUCAGGGCUGAUUUUCUUAAGAAUGGAUAGGUUUGAUCUUCUUGCAGUCCAUGGGACUCUCAAGAGUCUCCUCCAACACCAUAAUUCAAAAGCAUCAAUUCUUCGGCGAUCAGCCUUCUUUAUGGUCCAGCUCUCACUUCCAUACAUCACUACUGGGAAAACCAUAGCUUUAACUAUACGGACCUUUGUUGGAAAGGUGAUGUCUCUGCUUUUUAAGAUGCUGUCUAGGUUUGUCAUUGCUGAAGUAUAUUUGUCAUUGCUGAAGUAUAUUUUGCAUUUAUCUGAAUAGGAACUGGGAAGGGUCACAGCUCUGUGGUAGAACAUCUGCUUGGCAUGCCAAAGGUCCCCUUUCAAUCCCCAACAUCUCCUGGUAAGGUGGGGUGAGAAUUGCGCCUGACGUCUUGGAGAGCCACUGCUACUCACUGUGUAGGAAAUACUGAGCUAGAUGGACUAAUGGUCCGACUCAGUAUAAGUCAGCUCCCCAUGAUCCUAUCCUAGUUCCAGUUUUAUGCUUUAAUGUAGGGUUGCCAUGCAUCCAGAUUUUCCUGGCCAUGUCUGGAAUUCCAAUGAUGGAAUCAGUGUUUGGGGGGAAUUUUGGGAAAUAGACAAAAUGUCUGAGGUUUUGAAACUUUCCCAAAAAAGCUAAACAACAACUUUUUGUGUCCGGAUUUUUUACUUCUUGAAAUAUGGCAACCCUAUUUUAAUGGGAAACAGAAAGUAGGGUAAAAGGUAAUGGAUCCCUGGACAAUUAAGCCCAGUCAAAGGCGACUAUGGGGUGCGGUGCUCAUCUCACUUUCAGGCCAAGGGAGCCGGCAUUUGUCCACAGACAACAUUGCAGGUCAUGUGGCCAGCAUGACUAAACCACUUCUGGUGCAACGGGACACUGUGAUGGAAACCAGAGCGCACAGAAAUGUCAUUUACCUUCCCGCUGCAGCGGUACCUAUUUAUCUACUUGCACUGGUGUGCUUUCAAAUUGCUAGGUUGGCAGGAGCUCACGCCAUUGCGCAGAUUCGAACCACUGACCUUCUGAUUGGCAAGCCCAAGAUGCUCAGUGGUUUAGACCACAGCACUAUCCAUGUCCUGAGGAUGAAAGGAGAAAUCAAGCAGUGAGAUAGGAUGGAUAGCAGCAAAUCCAGGAUGGGUUCAGAAAGCGACUGAGAUACCUUCUGGUUAAGAUCAAACAGAAAAUUAGUCUCCCUUAGAGGAUUACCAUCAAGGUUUGAAACACCCACUGAAAGCAAUAAAACUCACAAGCACCAAAAUCACCUUAGUUUGAGCAGAGUCGGGAUCUGAGCCACAGAAAUGGAGGAGUCUUUAUUUAGAAGCUGAAAGAUGAUUUUAAUGCAAAUGUUAUUGAAAACAAGGGGCAAAACAAAAGCUUCCUCCAUACCAGCACAAGGGGGGGUGGAAAGCAACAUUUGCAGUAGAUAGAACCUUAUGUUUGCAAGACAGAGGCACCGAGACAGACGAUGAGGACUUGAGAAGUGCUAUAAAAACCUCAUGUUCCAAAAACAAAUUUUCUGGCUGACAAACACGAGAAGGAAACACACACAUUCAUUUCACUUCAAGCAAUCUAAUUAAAAGCACUCUUGAACAUAAUAGCAUAAGAAGUGUGGAUAACCAACCUCACAUAGCCAGCAUGCUUAAGUCUAAUUGAUGCAUGAAGGAGUUAAUGCCAUAGAGUAAGCUGUCCUGCCAGGCUUAGCUAGGUCACUCCCCUUCUGAACUCCCUCCAUGCAGAAUGAAGGUGUAAAUAGGUGUAUAAACUCUAUUUCUUAAAGGUACAGCAGUGUCCUCCACGUCUCAAGUCUCCAAAGGACCACCCUGGGUGAGUGUCUGGAACCCCAUGGGAGGAGGGGGAGUCACCCAAACUUUGUAAUAAUAAAGUCUGCCCCCUGCUAUAGACAUGCUCGUGGGAGAGCAUAAGAAGAGUCUGGUUGGAUCAGACCAAAGGUCCAUUUAGUCCAGCAUUAUUUUUCCUACCAUGGCCUUAAGAGAUGCUUCUGGGAGGCCCACAAGCAGGUAAAUGAAUACAUUCUCCUGCUGUUGCCUCCUAGCAGCUGGUAUUCAGUGGCAAAAGUGCCUCUAGACAUCAAGGUUCUACGUAGCUUUUGUAGCUCAUAGCCAUUGUUAGGCUCCAUCGGUAGAAUUGUAUCACUUGAAACAGCCAUACUACUACUACUACUACUACUACUAAUAAUAAUAAUAAUAAACAAAAACAAAUUUUAGUUGUAUCCCACCCUCCCUGGCCGAAACCAUGCCUCCCCCCCCCCCCCAGGAGAAUAUUGGGAAAUGUAUCUUGAUUUGAAAUUCAUGGCAUGCUGUACGUUGAAAGAAAAUUAUAUGAAAAUGAUGUAUCGGUGGUACCAAACGCCUAGUAAGUUAGCAAAUAUGUAUAAGACAGGUACAAAUAUCUGCUGGAAAUGUAAGGAAAAAGAAGGCACCUUUUAUUAUAUGUGGUGGACGUGUAAGGUAAUAAAAGCGUUUUGGGAAAUGAUAUAUAAUGAAUUGAAAAAAAAUUUAGAAUAACUUUUAUUUAAAAACAAACAAACCCAGAGGUUUUUCUAUUAGGAAUUGUAGGUGCUGGAAUUCCAAGGGAGCAGGAAAGACUUUUUAUGUAUGCGAUGACAGCUGCACGGAUGUUGUUAGCCCAGAGAUGGAAAGAAGAUAAAGUCCCUACCAGAGAAGAAUGGCAAAUAAAAUUGUUGGGCUAUGCCAAAAUGGCAAAACUGACCAGGAAGCUCAGAAACCAGGAAGACCAAAACUUUAAUAAGAAAUGGGGGGAAAUUAUAGCUUACAUAGAAGGCCACUGAAAAGAGCUGAAAACACUAGCAGGACUGCAAUAACACUUGUAAUGUAACGAGAACUAUGGAUAUAACAGAGUUACCAAAAAAAUUGGAUUAUUUAAAUAAGAUGCAGUAGAACAGGGGUAACAACAGAACCAAUGGAGGGGAAGGUGAGAAGUCCAAAGAUUUGGAAGAAUCUUUAAAUUAUGAAUUUGUUGUAGUAUGAUUAUAAUUUGACUUUUGUAAAACCAAAUAAAAAUUAUUUGGAUUUCCCCCCCCAAAAAGAGAAAUGCAUCUUGUUCAGGGUGCUGUGUCUUGUUUGGAGGGACCCCCCCCCCCCGCAUUCCCCUCACAGAGCAACAAUUCCCAGAGUUCCCCGGGAAGAGACAUUGUUUGCUAGGAAACAGAGCUAUAUGCGGGAAAGAGGGGUCUGCUAACAACUCUCCGCAUCCUUAACAAAUGACGCUUUCCAUAGAACGGGCUAAUUGCCUUCGAACGCCUUCUCAGCCAAAGGAAGAUGUUGCUGUUAACCAGCGCAGGUUAUUACUGGAGCGAUCAGCAUUAAUCCUUUAAGCAUCACCACAUUUGCGGCGCAUCACAGCCUCCAGCAUUAUGACAUAAAUACAAAGCGAAACCUGCCAAGUCUUGCAGUCGACAUGACAGUAAUUGCGCUUGUGUUUAUAAUGGCUGCGGUGCCACACAUGGUUCGACGGCUUAGCGUCAGAGCCGGCGCCAGUUCCCUUCGGAGCAAUCUGCCAAGGUGGCAAGCCUCUCAACAGGUGAAUUUGCAGUCAAAAGCAAGCCCUGUUCUAUUUGGUCAGUGGGAUUUUCUGUCCAGUAUGGACCACAGACUUAGUUAAAGGAGUAGAUUGCAUUGAACUCAAUGCGUGUUUAUGACAGAGGGCAGCUCUGUCGUUAUUUUCAUUUUUCCAAAUAGCAGCAGUGCCAAGAAAGGUGGGGGAAGGAAUCUGUGGGGAGUGGGAAUGGGGGGGGGGGUUAACCCUUUCAUUUCAGGCUGUUCUCCACCCCACCCCUCACCCCAGCAAGCUGCUCUAAAUUGUGAAGGGGAAGCAAAUACAGUGGUACCUCAGUUUUUUAACAUACAGUGGUACCUCAGGUUACGUACUUAAUUCGUUUCGGAGGUCCGUUCUUAACCUGAAACUGUUCUUAACCUGAAGCACCACUUUAGCUAAUGGGGUCUCCUCCUGCUGCCGCGCCGCUGGAGCACGAUUUCUGUUCUCAUCCUGAAGCAAAGUUCUUAACCCGAGGUACUAUUUCUGGGUUAGCGGAGUCUGUAACCUGAAGCGUAUGUAACCUGAAGCGUAUGUAACCUGAAGCGUAUGUAACCCGAGGUACCAUUGUAAUCCGUUCUGGAAAACUGUUCGAGUUCUGAAAUGUUCGAAAACUCAGUAGCCGACAGCUAGGCCUCAGGAUCUUGCAUUCAGCGGAAGCCUCGUGGCAUGUUCGACUUCCGAGGCAUGUUCGAAAACUGAAGCAUUUACUUCCGGGUUUACGGCAUUCGAAAACCGAAAUGUUUGUCAACGGAGACAUUCAAAAACCAAAGUACCACUGGAGCCAUAUGCAGGGUUGAGUGACGUCAGGUAAUCGGUGGAGGAGAACAAGGCUUAAUCUUUCUUCCCACCUUGCAGCAGUCCUGAUCCGAAUUGUCCUUGCUAUGGAGCUGCUUUUAAAAAAUAAAAAGGAAGUUUGACCCGUAAAGUAUACUGCAUGUUGUAUCUAGUAACUUGUUGAUACCAGAACUGAUGGUGUUGACUGGAAGCAGGUUCAGGAAUGAUUCUUCACACAACACACGACUGAUUUGUGGAACUUACGGCUGUAUGAUUAGACGCAUUCCUGGUUGGUCAAGGCCUAUCAGCCAUUGUUGGUUAUGAUGGUUAAAUGGAGCCUCCAGUUUCAGAGGCAGUGUACAUUUUUGGACAAGGUUUCGAGAAGAAACAACAGGAGAGGGCUGCAGCCUUCAUGACCUCUUGUGGGCUUCCCACAGGCACUUGGCGAACCACUGUGGGAAACAGGAUCCUAGACUAGGCCAGCCUGUCGGAGCCCCCAUACGACCAGCUGUAAUGGCUACUCCUCCGACGUAUCUUUGGAACCCAUCCAGGCUCUCCUCCGAUGGUGAUUGAUGACCUAAGCCUUUGAAUGAGACUUCAGGCACGCUCUCCGUUCGCAGAGUACCCAGACAGCAGCAGAAGGAGCCAGAAAUAUGUGCUACAUUGCUACUUUAUUUCUACCUGCGGAAAACAGGAAAGAUUAUGUGUCUGCUCUCUGUGAGAGACAGAGAACAACAGGACAAAGAAACAGGAAACCAGUAACAUCAACAUCCACCUCCCGUCUCCUGUGAGACUUCCAACAGUCUGGAAUGUCAACAGAGUCUUGUGACUCCAAGAACUGCACAAUGGCAUAACAGAAACCUAACAGCCUUCCCCAGCCUGGCACCUUCCAGAUCACUUGGACUACAAAUCCCAUCAGCCUCAGCCAUCAAAGGCUGGCUGGGGCUGAUAGGAGCAGCAGAGUUUCAUUUGGACGGCUCCACUCAACGGACCUAUAGGGCUCUUCUUAUGAUAUUAUUUACUUAGUAGAUUUCUAUCCCACUUUAAAAAAUAUGAAUCUAUAUCCAUAGCAGCUGUCUUUUAACAUUAAAAGUGUUUCACAAAACAUCAUGACCCAUAAAAUCAUGGCUUUUGUUUUCAGCCGGAGCUCAGUUCUGGCACUUCUCAGGCAGACCCCCCAAGUGUCCCUAUUUUCCAGGGACAGUCAUGGAUUUACAGAAGCCAUCUCUGUUUCUGAUUUGAUCCCAGAAUGUCCCGCUUUUCCUUAGGAUGUCCCUAUUUUCACUGGCAAAAUCUUGGAGGGUAUGGAGUUAUGUGACCCCCUAGGCAAGGUGAUAAGUAACUAUACAACCUUUAAAAGACAUCUGAAGGCAGCUCCGUAUAGGGACAUUUUAAAAAAUGUUUUAUUAUGUUUUUAUAUAUGUUGGAAGCUGCACAGAGUGACUGGGGGCAACCCAGACAGAUGGGUGGGGC